AUCCCCGGCUGCAGCGGAUCGAAUGGUUGUGGGUUCUGUUGCAGAGGUGGCUGUUGAGGUAGAUUAUUCCAACGAGGAGAAACCAGGGGCGCUAGCGGCGAGAAUCCCGAAAAUUGCCUAUUAGAAUCGACGGCAGAUAUGGAGUUCUGAAGGUAUCGCAGAUAAGCAGAAACCGGAGACUCCGCCGCCGCGUGGACCGCCGGAAACGGAGGUAACGGUGACAGAGGAGCUGAUGGGCGUUGGAUGAAAUUGUUGGUCGCUGCAGCAGUAGGCAUGGGAGGGUUUAUGGAGGCGUUAAGAGGUGGAGGAGGUAGUUGAUGAGGAGGGAUGGCGCUGUUUAUCAAGGGAG
rnacentral:misc_RNA from 1 species